rnacentral:rRNA from 1 species
UACAGAGGUCUCAAGCGUUGUUCGGAUUCAUUGGGCGUAAAGGGUGUGUAGGUGGCGCGCUAAGUCGGGUGUGAAAUUUCGGAGCUUAACUUCCGAAACUGCAUUCGAUACUGGCGUGCUUGAGGACUGGAGAGGAGACUGGAAUUCAUGGUGUAGCAGUGAAAUGCGUAGAGAUCAUGAGGAAGACCAGUGGCGAAGGCGGGUCUCUGGACAGUUCCUGACACUGAGACACGAAGGCCAGGGGAGCAAACGGG